GAGCGAGCUUGCCUAGAUGAUUUUAGUGCUUGCACUAAAUGAAACUAGAUACAAGCGAGCGGCGGACGGGUGAGUAACACGUGGGUAACCUGCCCAAGAGACUGGGAUAACACCUGGAAACAGAUGCUAAUACCGGAUAACAACACUAGACGCAUGUCUAGAGUUUGAAAGAUGGUUCUGCUAUCACUCUUGGAUGGACCUGCGGUGCAUUAGCUAGUUGGUAAGGUAAUGGCUUACCAAGGCGAUGAUGCAUAGCCGAGUUGAGAGACUGAUCGGCCACAUUGGGACUGAGACACGGCCCAAACUCCUACGGGAGGCAGCAGUAGGGAAUCUUCCACAAUGGACGAAAGUCUGAUGGAGCAACGCCGCGUGAGUGAAGAAGGGUUUCGGCUCGUAAAGCUCUGUUGGUAGUGAAGAAAGAUAGAGGUAGUAACUGGCCUUUAUUUGACGGUAAUUACUUAGAAAGUCACGGCUAACUACGUGCCAGCAGCCGCGGUAAUACGUAGGUGGCAAGCGUUGUCCGGAUUUAUUGGGCGUAAAGCGAGUGCAGGCGGUUCAAUAAGUCUGAUGUGAAAGCCUUCGGCUCAACCGGAGAAUUGCAUCAGAAACUGUUGAACUUGAGUGCAGAAGAGGAGAGUGGAACUCCAUGUGUAGCGGUGGAAUGCGUAGAUAUAUGGAAGAACACCAGUGGCGAAGGCGGC
rnacentral:rRNA from 1 species